GAGCACGUAGGUGGGUUUGUAAGUCAGAUGUGAAAGCCUUCUGUUCAACGGAAGAAUUGCAUCUGAAACUGCGAGUCUUGAGUGUAGGAGGGGAGAAUGGAACUUCUGGUGGAGCGGUGAAAUGCGUAGAUAUCAGAAGGAACUCCGGCGGCGAAAGCGAUUCUCUGGCCUAUUACUGACACUCAGUGUGCGAAAGCUAGGGGAGCAAACGGGAUUAGAUACCCCGGUAGUCCUAGCCGUAAACGAUGGGCACUAAGUAGAGGGGUUUU
rnacentral:rRNA from 1 species